CGGCAAACAGUUCGCCUCCUCAGUCAUCAGUGUGUUGUGUUUGCCCAUCGAGGAAGGAUGAAGGGGUUGGUGUUCGCGUUCAUAACCCUCCUCUGCCACACCCCUGUCAUCACAGCAGAAUCUAAACGCCCCGGGUCGCCGGACGACAGGUUUUACCCUGGUCCCAAGGGUCCCACUCCUGCUCCUAGCCCCGCGCCCACGCCUCCACCCCAUCCUUCGGCACAGUGCCUGGGGCCGUACCCUCACCACCUCCCUUACCCAGACGACCUCUUCUGCCCCCGCUACCGCUUCUAUGAGUGUCGCGAUGGCGUGGCCGUCGUCCGCCGCUGCCCCGACGAGACGGUCUACGACGCCCGCACCGCCGCCGCCCACUACCCCUGCGACUACCCUGAGAACGUCUCCUGCGGCGGCUCCACAGUGGCGUUAGAAAACAUGCUCUUGUACCUAUUUGUGCUGGUGUCUUGUACUUGCUAUUUGUCUUCGUUUCAAUAAAGACUUUAAAAAUGUCCAGUAUCAUGUCCCGUGUUUGGCGUUGAGAAAUAUAUAUUCAGUCGUGCAUAAAAUGGAUGUGAACCUAAUGUUAAUAAUAUAGCAUCCUUUAAGUCGCUCUUGGCACAUUUGUUGAAAGCCGUCAUACAUGCUUGUUGCCUGCUUUUUUUUUUCCUUCCAUUUGGAGCUGUGCUGUAGCCAUGCCAGACUUUUCCCCGGACAGGUAGGUGGUGGUGAGGAAGCCUGAGUCCAUUCGAAUAAACAAAAUCGUUGGAGCAUGCAUAAGGCCAGUGCCCGUGCGCAAGGAAGCUCCCAUAAACAUAUCCACCAUGAUCCUUCCAAUCCAUUAAUUUGUGUAACCAGCGUCUCCAACAGUUCCCACGAGAGAGAAUUAAAUAGACAGCAUGACAUUAUAAUUCAUCCUUACUUCAUUUUUUGUUAACUAGGAAAUACAUGUUAGUUUAACCUCGAACUUUGAGAUGGUAGCUAACCUAUUGUUUUACCUAGGUCCCUCCCUCCUUUUCCACGUCACACCUAUCAUUACAUGGCCUGAUAUAUCUACCUCCUCCUCCCAAAUAUCCUACAAUCUCUUUUCUCCACUGCCUCACUUGCCAUGAUAUAUAUAUUCUACAGCUGAUUCUGCCCCUCUGUCCCUCCAAGUUACUGGGUCCUCAAGCUCCCAAUU